GAAAAUAUCCAUAUAACCUAUCAGUUUGUAAUACUGUGUUUAUCUUCCAUUCAUGGACAUUUUAGGCUCCAUCCUUGGAUGUGCUACAGGUGGACGGAAAAGCAAUACUAAAAAUUAAACCAGGUGAAGUGCAGAAACAGCUGCAAGAGGAACACGACUUGCAACAAUCUUUGCCACCUCAGGCUUCAAAUAUGAAAGGUAGACAUUAUCCAGGCAUUCAUCGUCUACGUACUGCUUUUCCUAGUUUUAUAUUUUCUCCUUAUUUACAACUGGCUUCUAGAGUUUAUCAUACUUUAGACAUAAGAGGUCACAAUAUCUUAUCUACAUCAGAGGACACCAACAAUAAGGAGGAAGAACCAUUGAGUUCCAAAUAUAUUUAUUUGAGAGAGCCAGCUGAAAAGAAAAGAAUUUGUUAUGAAGGAGUUCCUAUUUCAGAGCAAUUCCAGAAUAAUCGGACCAAUGGGAUUCACUUUCUUCCCCCGCAUACAUCAGAAAGUCUAACUGAAUGCAAAAAAGUAGCUGAAUAUGAUCUUAAAAAACCACAACUGCAACCAUUGGGAGAGAAAGUUUCCAUCUAUCCAGAAGCUUUAAAAAUGUUUUGUGCUCCAGCUCCACCAAAACUCUCUGCUACAAUUUCAUUAAAGGAAAUUUUAUUUCCUACAUAUGAGGUAAAUAUUUUAAAUGUAUCUUAGUGUUUCCAUCUUUUGCAGAAAUAUACAUCUUUUUCUAAAAUAUAUUUGUUAAA
ensembl:lncRNA